GACAGAGGGUGCAAGCGUUGUUCGGAAUUACUGGGCGUAAAGCGUGCGCAGGCGGUGAUGUAAGUCAGUUGUGAAAUCCCCGGGCUCAACCUGGGAACUGCAUCUGUGACUGGAUCGCUGGAGUGCGGCAGAGGGGGAUGGAAUUCCGCGUGUAGCAGUGAAAUGCGUAGAUAUGCGGAGGAACACCGAUGGCGAAGGCAAUCCCCUGGGCCUGCACUGACGCUCAUGCACGAAAGCGUGGGGAGCAAACAGG
rnacentral:rRNA from 1 species